rnacentral:hammerhead_ribozyme from 1 species
AUCCAGUUGAUAAGUCCCGAAUCGGACGAAAUGUACAUCCUGGAU